rnacentral:rRNA from 1 species
GACGAACGCUGGCGGCGUGCUUAACACAUGCAAGUCGAACGGAAAGGCCCUGCUUUUGUGGGGUGCUCGAGUGGCGAACGGGUGAGUAACACGUGAGUAACCUGCCCUUGACUUUGGUAUAACUUCAGGAAACUGGGGCUAAUACCGGAUAGGAGCUCCUGCUGCAUGGUGGGGGUGGGAAAGUUUCGGCGGUUGGGGAUGGACUCGCGGCUUAUCAGCUUGUUGGUGGGGUAGUGGCUUACCAAGGCUUUGACGGGUAGCCGGCCUGAGAGGGUGACCGGCCACAUUGGGACUGAGAUACGGCCCAGACUCCUACGGGAGGCAGCAGUGGGGAAUAUUGCACAAUGGGCGGAAGCCUGAUGCAGCAACGCCGCGUGCGGGAUGACGGCCUUCGGGUUGUAAACCGCUUUCGCCUGUGACGAAGCGUGAGUGACGGUAAUGGGUAAAGAAGCACCGGCUAACUACGUG